UAGUCCCAACCGUAAACGUUGUGUACUUGGUGUGGGGAGAUUUGACCCUUCCCGUGCCGGAGCUAACGCGUUAAGUACACCGCCUGGGGAGUACGGCCGCAAGGCUAAAACUCAAAGAAAUUGACGGGGGCCCGCACAAGCGGAGGAGCAUGUGGCUCAAUUCGAUGCAACGCGAAGAACCUUACCAGGGCUUGACAUAUAGCUGCACGCCCGGUGAAAGCCGGGAAGCCUUCGAGGGUGCUAUACAGGUGCUGCAUGGCUGUCGUCAGUUCGUGCCGUGAGGUGUUGGGUUAAGUCCCGCAACGAACGCAACCCCUGUGUUUAGUUGCUAGUUUGGGUGUUAAGCCCAAGCGCACUCUAGACAGACCGCCCGUGUAAGCGGGAGGAAGGUGGGGAUGACGUCAAGUCAGUAUGGCCCUUAUGCCCUGGGCUGCACACGUGCUACAAUGGCCGGUACAGUGGGAAGCAAUACCGCGAGGUGGAGCCAAUCCCCAAAACCGGCCUCAGUUCGGAUUGGAGUCUGC
rnacentral:rRNA from 1 species